rnacentral:tRNA from 1 species
GGGCCUGUAGCUCAACGGUUAGAGCAGGGGACUCAUAAUCCCUUGGUCGUAGGUUCGAGUCCAACCAGACCCACCA